rnacentral:rRNA from 1 species
GGGGAAUCUUCCGCAAUGGACGAAAGUCUGACGGAGCAACGCCGCGUGAACGAUGACGGCCUUCGGGUUGUAAAGUUCUGUUAUACGGGACGAAUGGUACGACGGUCAAUACCCGUCGUAAGUGACGGUACCGUAAGAGAAAGCCACGGCUAACUACGUGCCAGCAGCCGCGGUAAUACGUAGGUGGCAAGCGUUGUCCGGAAUUAUUGGGCGUAAAGGGCGCGCAGGCGGCGUCGUAAGUCGGUCUUAAAAGUGCGGGGCUUAACCCCGUGAGGGGACCGAAACUGCGAUGCUAGAGUAUCGGAGAGGAAAGCGGAAUUCCUAGUGUAGCGGUGAAAUGCGUAGAUAUUAGGAGGAACACCAGUGGCGAAAGCGGCUUUCUGGACGACAACUGACGCUGAGGCGCGAAAGCGUGGGGAGCAAAC